rnacentral:rRNA from 1 species
UACGUAGGGUGCAAGCGUUGUCCGGAAUUAUUGGGCGUAAAGAGCUCGUAGGCGGUUUGUCGCGUCUGCUGUGAAAACUCGGGGCUUAACCCCGGGCCUGCAGUGGGUACGGGCAGACUAGAGUGCGGUAGGGGAGACUGGAAUUCCUGGUGUAGCGGUGAAAUGCGCAGAUAUCAGGAGGAACACCGGUGGCGAAGGCGGCCCCCUGGUCGGAUACUGACGCUGAGACGCGAAAGCGUGGGGAGCAAACAGG